rnacentral:rRNA from 1 species
UAACGCAGACGAAAGUUGCGCUAAUACCGCAUACGAUCUAUGGAUGAAAGCGGGGGAUCGCAAGACCUCGCGCGAUUGGAGCGGCCGAUAUCAGAUUAGGUAGUUGGUGAGGUAAAGGCUCACCAAGCCGACGAUCUGUAGCUGGUCUGAGAGGACGACCAGCCACACUGGGACUGAGACACGGCCCAGACUCCUACGGGAGGCAGCAGUGGGGAAUUUUGGACAAUGGGCGCAAGCCUGAUCCAGCCAUGCCGCGUGAGUGAUGAAGGCCCUAGGGUUGUAAAGCUCUUUCACCGGUGAAGAUAAUGACGGUAACCGGAGAAGAAGCCCCGGCUAACUUCGUG